GAUGAACGCUGGCGGCAUGCCUAACACAUGCAAGUCGAGCGGGCGUAGCAAUACGUCAGCGGCAGACGGGUGAGUAACGCGUGGGAACGUACCUUUUGGUUCGUAACAACACAGGGAAGCUUGUGCUAAUACCGGAUAAGCCCUUACGGGGCAAGACUUAUCGCCGAAAGAUCGGCCCGCGUCUGAUUAGCUAGUUGGUGAGGUAACUGCUCACCAAGGCGCCGAUCAGUAGCUGGGCAGUGAGGAUGAUAGGCCACAUUGGGACCGAGACACGACGAAAACUCCUCCGGGCGGCAGCAGUGGGGAAUAUUGGAAAAUAGGCGCAAGCCUGAGCCAGCCAUGCCGCGUGAGUGAUGAAGGCCCUAGGGUUGUAACGCUCUUUUGUGCGGGAAGAUAAUGACGCUACCGCAAGAAUAAGCCCCGGCUAACUUCGUGCCAGCCGCCGCGGUAA
rnacentral:rRNA from 1 species